rnacentral:lncRNA from 1 species
ACAUUCAGCGUCGCCAAACGAGCCCAAAGCUUCAAGACCCUGUAGAGAUCGUCACAGAUAUGACAAUAUCUGCAAGUUGGAACCUCACUGUGGGCAAUACUGCAGUGAUAAACUGCACCGUGCACAAACCAGGAAACGGCCACAAUGUGACUUUGCAGCUGAUGCGGACAAAACUGGGCCUAGAGGAAAAGUUUAAGGUGCUGGUGAGCCAACCAGCUUCAAGAGGGAUCUCAUAUGUACUGGGUCCCAUUACUCAUGAGCACCUGGGAGAGUCUGUAGCUGUGUGGAAGGUGGCAGCGCGCCUAAUGCUGACGUUACGGAUCGGCACCAUUUAAUCUGGGUUACUGACUCGUCUCCAGCAGUCACAAUAAACUUGCUCAGCAUCAACAGGGUCAACUUCUUCGGUGAAAAGACUAUCACUGUUGGGUGCCAGCUGCCUAACAAAGUCAGUGGAAGAUGAUGAGGUUGGUAAUUCUUUUAUUGUCAUAUUUCCUGUAUCUAGUUUGGACUGAUAAAAUAAAAAGCAGACAGAAAACACCAUCAGUACAAGGUGGCAGCUGAAGCUUGGGUGGUAGGUUCAGUUGCCAAGAUGCAAAAUCCCAAAAUCACUCUUAAAACAAGAAGUCUGCUUGGAAAAGACUUGGUUAUCCAAAAACUUCCAAUGAAAUCUGAAGAAAAGAAAUGUAGAGUGAAAGUCGGAUGAACUAAAUACUUCACCUUACUUUUAUUAUUCCAGCUUUGACAUGGAUACAGGGACUAUCAGAGUGUGCGGAUCCACAGACUUCAGGCUGCCUCCUGUCUUGCACCAUUAAAACAGAAAUGACUCAUUAGAUUAAAUUAAAAGAUAAUAAGAUGUGCUGGUGUGAAUCUGCAUCAGGGAACAGGAGCAAUAUCCUUGAUGCCUCCCGUGCUGUGAGUGAGCGUCGAAAAGAUUAUAAACUACUGAGAACUUCGAUGAAUGCCCAGUCAGCAUGGUACCUCCAUGUGGGUGACACCACGGAGAUUACCUGCAGUGUGAAUCUGGACAUUUACAACAUCAGCAACAAGAUGAACCUGCAGCUGAUCUGGACUAAGAUGGGGCCUGAAGAGAACAGCACGAAGGUUGUCUCAAGCCAGCUAGCAUCUACAGGCAUUUCCUACACACUGGGUCCUGUUACCCUCGAACAUCAGGGAGUUUACACAUGUGUUGAUGAGAGUUUGCCUGUUCUUGGUAAUCUCUGGCAUAAGAUCAUCUGGGUAGCUGGUGAGUUACAGCAACUGCUGGUGCAGCCAUUUCUGCAGUAG